rnacentral:lncRNA from 1 species
GUUUUGUACUUUCUACUUGCAUAUGCUGGUUUUAUAAUAAUAAAAGGUUAUUUUAAAAAGAAAAUCACUAUUUUCCGCUGAGCCCAGAUACAGCUUCUGAAUCACCAUCAACAUGAGACUGGUACAUUCCAGCAUGGGAGGCUGCCAGGGCAUCAGUCCAGCUGGUUACUUCUUCGAAGAAGUAACUACUGAUUUCCUUUUGCCUAUUGAUUUCCAUUGCCUAUGCAUCUUACCUGUGGCUCAAGAUUACCUUGGCACUAAAUCCAAUUAGCCUUUUCACUUUGGCAGCCCUUACCAAUUGGCAACUUCUUUGUCUCUUGGUUUGCUUUUGGGCAAAAAUUACCUUCUUCUUUAGUUUUUGAGUCAUUAUAUCCUCUUGGUUUUCUUCCUACCUUUCUGACUUCUCAGUCUCCUUUGAAAGUUUACAGCUUCUUUAAUUUCCCCCACAAUUCCAUACUCAGCCUUCUCUCUUCACUCUAUAUCUUUUUCCCAAAAAAGGGA